rnacentral:rRNA from 1 species
GAUGAACGCUAGCGGAAGGCAUAAUACAUGCAAGUCGAACGGAUGUAGCAAUACAUUAGUGGCGCACGGGUGCGUAACGCGUAUGCAACCUACCUUCAUCAGGGGGAUAACUACCCGAAAGGGUGGCUAACACCGCAUAAUACUAUUGAGUGGCAUCACUUGAUAUUUAAAUCUGAGGAGGACGAAGAUGGGCAUGCGUCUGAUUAGCUAGUUGGUGUGGUAACGGCGCACCAAGGCGACGAUCAGUAGGGGAACUGAGAGGUUGGUCCCCCACACUGGCACUGAGAUACGGGCUAGACUCCUACGGGAGGCAGCAGUAGGGAAUAUUGGUCAAUGGUGGGAACACUGAACCAGCCAUUCCGCGUGCAGGAAGAAGGGUCUCUGACUUGUAAACUGCUUUAGCAAGGGAAGAAAAAGCUCAUGCGUGAGAAAUUGACGGUACCUUGAGAAUAAGCACCGGCUAACUACGUGCCAGCCGCCGCCGUAAGAC